rnacentral:lncRNA from 1 species
AUGACAAGGAGGCCCAGUUCAACAGUCCGAAUCUCAAUGUCGCUUACCGCAUGAAUGUGCGGGAGUACCAGUCUCUCACUUCCUAUGCCUCCUUGCUGGAGGAGAACUGGGGCAAGCCACCUGGGAACCUCAACUCUGAUGGUGAAAACCUCCUUGUCUAUGGGAAGCAGUAUGGCAAUGUCUUCAUAGGUGUGCAGCCCACUUUUGGGUAUGAAGGUGACCCGAUGCGGCUUCUGUUCUCAAAGUCUGCCAGCCCUCACCAUGGCUUUGCAGCAUAC